rnacentral:rRNA from 1 species
GACAGAAUCCUCGAGCGUUACCCGGAUUUAUUGGGCGUAAAGGGUCCGUAGGUGGUUUGGUAAGUUAAAAGUUAAAGCUUCUCGGCUUAACCUUGAAGAUGCUUUUAAUACUGCCAGACUUGAGGGCGUUAGGGGUUAGCGGAACCGACGGAGUAGGGGUGAAAUCCGUUGAUAUCGUCGGGAACACCAAAAGCGAAGGCAGCUAACUAGGACGACCCUGACACUGAGGGACGAAAGCGUGGGGA